CAGGAGAUUCUCCUGACAACCUACAAGCAGUAGCAGUUUUCAUACCCUCAGCUGAUUUAAAAGAAGUGUCCUCCUCUUGAACCAACUCUCCAGGGAGCAUGAAAAGUGAUUUAGUUUCCAAGAAAGCAGCGUGUCCCUUCUGGAAUGUAUCCUGAAAGCACACAGGCUGCCUUGCCCACCCUCUGCUGUCCAUAUCCUCUCUGCAGACAUGCCUGGCUGCACUUCUUUGCAGGGCAACAGGACUAAAGGCAGAGAAGGGAGGUCUCCAGUUCAGUGGCAGUGUUGCAUAUCAAGGAGCAGCUCACAUACCCCCUGGGCAGCAAGUUAAUGCCAAUUGAUUCAGCAGAUGGAAACAGCCUCUCAGUCCUAGCAAGAAUAAAAUUAUUUUUUGUUUUUACAACAUA